GAUGAACGCUGGCGGCGUGCCUAAUACAUGCAAGUCGAGCGAACAGAUGAGGAGCUUGCUCCUCUGACGUUAGCGGCGGACGGGUUAGUAACACGUGGAUAACCUACCUAUAAGACUGGGAUAACUUCGGGAAACCGGAGCUAAUACCGGAUAAUAUAUUUAACCGCAUGGUUCAAUAGUGAAAUACGGUUUUGCUGUCACUUAUAGAUGGAUCCGCGCCGCAUUAGCUAGUUGGUAAGGUAACGGCUUACCAAGGCGACGAUGCGUAGCCGACCUGAGAGGGUGAUCGGCCACACUGGAACUGAGACACGGUCCAGACUCCUACGGGAGGCAGCAGUAGGGAAUCUUCCGCAAAGGGCGAAAGCCUGACGGAGCAACGCCGCGUGAGUGAUGAAGGUCUUCGGAUCGUAAAACUCUGUUAUUAGGGAAGAACAAAUGUGUAAGUAACUAUGCACGUCUUGACGGUACCUAAUCAGAAAGCCACGGCUAACUACGUG
rnacentral:rRNA from 1 species